GACGGGCCCCUCUGAACUCUCGUCUGAUUGGUGGAUCAGACGUGUCGGCGGGGGUGUGGCCGUGGCUGGCCAGCCUGCACCUGAACGGGACACACACCUGCGGAGGAACUCUGGUGUCCGAGACGCUCGUGCUCACCUCAGCCAACUGCUUCUCCAGCUCCAGCACGCCUUCUGAUUGGACGGUGUUCCUGGGCCGCCUGCGACAGAACGGCUCCAACCCCAAUGAGGAGUCUGUGGGUGUGGCCAACAUCACGCUGAGCAGCCUAUCAGGCGAGAACGUGGCCAUGGUGCAGCUGACCAGGAAGCCCACCCUCUCCAACUUCAUUCAGCCAGUCUGCGUGGAACAGAACGCCAUCGCCACGGGAACCACCUGCUGGGUCGCAGGCUGGGGCAACGCACAGGCUGGAGGUGAGCAGCCCCUUCAGGAGGUGCAGACAUCAGUGGUUGCCUGUGGCAACGCAUCCUCCUCUGCUGAUGACAUCUGCACCAACACUCUUCAGUUACAGCAGGGUGAUAUGGGAGGUCCCCUCAUGUGUAAGCAGGGCGUGUCGUGGUUCCAGGUUUCAGUGAUCGCUGUAAACUCCUCCUCCUCCCUGUCCAACUCCACCUCCACCUCCACCUCCAGAGCCGCCAGCCAAUCAGAUCGCUCCUCAGUGCAGGUCUUCAGUCGGACGUCUCGGUUCAGCACCUUCCUGUCAGGCUUCACCUUCCCUAUGACCUUCACCUCCGCCACCACCCCCAACACCACCUCCACCCCCACCAACACCACCACCACCACCACCUCCGCCACCAGUGGGGGGCGCCACUCCUACACCCCCCUCUCCCUCCUCUCCCUCCUCUCGCUCCUCUUCCUCUCCCUCUACGCCGCUCAGCUGGCCUCCCAGCACUAACCCUGAGGUCAUGACUGCCUACAAUCCAGUACUGAAAUAACAAACGAGGUGUGUGUGUGUGUGUGUGUGUGUGUGAGAUGUAUGUGUAACAUCAUUAAUCAGGGAUCAAUUAUGUGAUGUACGGGUAACGUCAUUAAUCAGGGAUCAAUUAUGUGAUGUAUGUGUAAGUAACAUUAUUAAUCAGGGAUCAAUUAUGUGAAGGGAGCACUGUAGCUAAGGUAAUUUGACAUCAGCUCUGUAAUAUACUAUACUUAUCAUGGCAUUGUGUGUGUGUGUGUGUUGGUGUUUGUGUGUGUAUGUGUGUGUAUGUGUAGCUCUGUAAGUGACCGCACUUGUCAUGACAGUGUGUGUGUGUGUGUGUGUGUGUGUGUGUGUGUAUAUGUCUGUGGCUCUGUAAGCGACCGCACUUGUCAUGACAGUGUGUGUGUGUGUGUGUGUGUGUGUGUGUGUAGCUCUGUAAGCGACCGCACUUGUCAUGACAGUGUGUGUGUGUGUGUGUGUGUGUAUGUGUAGCUCUGUAAGCGACCGCACUUGUCAUGACAGUGUGUGUGUGUGUGUGUGUGUGUGUGUGUGUGUGUGUGUGUGUGUGUGUGUGUGUGUGGCUCUGUAAGCGACCACACUUUCUCAGGGUCUCCUGGUUUGCACUUAAAAUCAUGGCAAUAAUAGAUUUUAAUUUUAAUUUUAAAAUGUAAGUUUUUUAUUGUAAUGACACUUUAUAUCCAGUGAGAUUUGAUAUAGUAGUUAGUUCAUAAAACUCAAUUUUUUCUGUCUUUAUAAUUUUCUCUAUGCAAAUAAAAUGAAUAAUUCUAUGCAA
ensembl:lncRNA